UGUAACUGUUGGCAGUUCGUUUGACAAGCUCACCAGCAGUUCGGCAAGUAAUGAAGAAAAUCGGUAUCGGUGGACUGAUGAAGAGAAUCAGUAUCGCCAGCGGACGGACAAAGAGAAUCAGUAUAGGCGGACGAAUGAACAGAAUCAGUAUAGGUGGACAGAUGAACAGAAUCAGCAUCGGCGGACUGAUGAACAGAAUCAGUAUCGCCGGCGGACGAACGAAGAGAAUCAGCAUCGGCGGACCUAUGAAGAGAAUCAGCAUCGGCGGACCUAUGAAGAGAAUCAGCAUCGGCGGACCUAUGAAGAGAAUCAGCAUAGGAGGAUGAAUGAAGAGAACCAGUGUUGGCGGGUGAAUGAAGAGAAGCAGUGUCGGCAGACGAAUGAAGAGAAUCAGUAUCGCAGGACGAAUGAAGAGAAUCAGUAUCAGCGAACACACACAAAUCAUAACUUAGUUCCUGUGGAUCAG
rnacentral:lncRNA from 1 species